GGUCAUUGACAAGGAAAUUAGAAGACAAGCUCGAUGCCACGAACAGCUUACAUUAUCAAAAUCUGCCUCACGUCUCUUUACCUCUUCUUUGCUAGAGCUUCAUGGUUUUACUUUUUGGAUUAGUAGGCGUAAUCAAUUCCAUCCUUGGGUAUGACGAAUCUGUUGAGGAAACGUUGAAUGCAAUAACGACAGUGAUUUUAAACCUUGUUGUCUGCACAACAUCUUUAAUUGGGUUUUGGUUUUCAACGCACAUUAGAAAAUACCAUAAACGAA